rnacentral:rRNA from 1 species
AUGUGUGCUGUUUGUGGCGUUGAACGGGAGGAUACUUUCCAUGCCGUAUGCAGAUGUCCGAUGGCGGGUGCGUUAUGGGACGCCAUGAGGGAGUCUUGGCCUUUACCAGCUCGAGCUGACAUUCAGUACACCGGGAAGGAGUGGCUACUACACCUCCUAGCCGGCUGCAAUGAGACCCAGCGCAUGAUCAUUUUGAUGACUUUCUGGCGUGCUUGGCACUGCCGGAAUGAGGUCACACAUCACAAGCCAGCGCCACCCGUCGAGACGCUUCCUCAAUUGAUACAUCGAGUCCCUUGUGUGCAUAAAAAACAGUAUCCCAAGGGGAAUAUUAUGAAAGGUAAGAUGGUGUUACAGUGUGCAGGCCAACAAACCGCCACAUGCUGA